rnacentral:rRNA from 1 species
UCCCAGCAGUCCAAGUCGCAGCCACAUUUGUUGGGUCUAAAAUAUCCGUAGCUUGCCUUACAAGUCUUUUGUGAAAUCGGGCCUCUCAAGGGUCCGGCGAGCAAAAGAUACUGUUUGGCUAGAGACCGGGAGACGUAAGGAGUACGAUGGGGGUAGCGGUUAAAUGCGUUGAUCCUCAUCGGACUAACAAUAGCGAAGGCACCUUACGAGAACGGUUCUGACAGUGAGGGAUGAAGGCUAGGGGCGCAAAGUG